CAAUUUGUCCGAGGAUCAAGUCUCUAAUAUAUGGGAAUUGCUAGGAAUGACAAUAAGCGAUAUGGUCCAAGAGGGAAUAAUCGAAGAGGAAAAACUAGAUGAUUGCAACAUGCCCUUUUACCUACCUACUCCUGAAGAAGUUAGAUAUGUGAUUCAAAAGGAGGGCUCAUUUGACAUCACUAGGUUCGAAACAUUUAAAGUCACCUGGGACGCCGAAAUGGGUGACGGCGAUUUACAAAUGAGGGGCAAAUAUGCGGCAGCAACCGUUAGAGCGGUCUCAGAGUCCAUCCUAACAACACAUUUCGGAGAAGAAGUCAUGGAUGGCUUGUUUGAGAGGUUUGCUAGCAAAGUUUCACAGUACAUGAAACUACAUAAAGGAGAAUAUUUCAACAUCCUAGUUUCAGUAAAGAACAGAUGGAUAUCAACCCUCAUGCAAUCCAGUUAACCCUUAACUCGAGUGAAAACAAUGUCAAACAUAUGUAGAGAUGUGUGUCAUGGAAUAAGCGAACUUUUCUUGGAUGAGCCCACGAAACAUCUUUCAGUUGUUAUCAAGCUUCGGAAAUCAGUUCGGUUCUUAUUGUAUAUUACCGGUAGAUUCAAGCUUUGCGGGGUCAGUCCCCCUCGAAGUUCACUUGAUUGAUCAAUCAAGGAAACCAGUUUACCAAAA